ensembl:lncRNA
GUUUUUUAUGAAGAAAUACUGCAUCUACAUCAGUAUCGGACAAUAUUUAAGCUGAUACCGUGUCAUCCCUGAUAGUGAUUGUCCUAAUUUAAAAUAAGAUUAUUCCAAGAACUCCCAGAGCGCUAUUAAAGUUUCUUUUCAUACCCGUGUACUAAAAACGGCUGGAAGUGAAAUAUGACAGCUUAUACUCCGUGUUGAUUCCACGUCACUACAUGAAAAACUGUUGUUGAGCUUACAUUGUUGAUCUAACUGCUAUUUUCUUGGUGGGCGUGUUUAUUUCCUCUGCCCUCUGUGCAGGUUGUUCUGCAGUCUUUCACUGUGAUCUCUGGGGACAUGAGCUGACACCAGGCUGGCCUGGCUUUUGUGCUGUGCUCUGUGCAACACAACCCCCUUGUACUGUCAGAGCCAAUCUCCCCUCCCUCACCCCGAACACAGAGACAAAUACACGUGCGCUCUGGUGUUGGCAGAGUGGCGGGCGGUGAGGCUCCGUGUGAUGGCUCAGCGGAGGGAGGCAGGAUGUCGCAGCCCCACAGAGGGCUAGUGAGCGUGGGGGUGCUGCUGGUGGCGGCCGGGGUCAUCCUCGUCAUGUUCUCUACAAUAUACACAGGCAUCAUUGGAAUGCUCCUGGGUGGCCUGGGCUUCUGCAUCCUCAUCUACUCCUUCUGCCAAGUGAUGAAGUCCAGCAGUCACAUGACCAUCCCAGGUCACUUCCUGCUCCACCCGCGCACCGGCACCCGUUACACCUACGAGCAGGCCAUCGCUCUGCAGAGGAGGCUAGACAGAAUCCGCAGGGCUUCAGCUGAAGAGCAGCGUUCAGUCCAGCGCUCAGACACGACACACACCAGUCUCCACAGCCUGCCCGGUACCCCCCCGCCAUGGGACAUGGAGCCCCCACCAUCCUAUGAGACAGUCAUGAAGACCACCACAUCCCUCAACCAGCUAUGAUCACUGCUGUGCCCUCAUGACCCUGUGAGGGUGAUGCUAACCAGGAUUAAGAGCUAGGUGCUAAUGCUAGCUAAAUAGUUAGCCAGAUAGCCAAAAGUUGCCUGUAAGUAUUUAGCAUUUGUAUUGUUAUCAAACCACUCAGGCUGAAUGAGUACCAUAAGUGACCACUGACUUUGACCAUGUAAUGUAUUCCUCUUCAGUAACAUUAUUUGCUUACUGCUAGUCACAUGGCUUUUAAUGGCAUCAAAAUACCAAGUAAAGUGCAAAUUGAAUCCAGCCACUGCAGGAAACUGUGGUUUUUGGUUUCCUUUCUUGUAAGGACAUGUUCAAAACCACAGAGGAGUCAUUCGUUCUUAGAGCUGCGCAACCAAGGUUUUAUAUGCUGGUUGACUGUAACUCUCUUUUAGAGUCAGUGUAAAAUCUCAUUAAUCAGGACACAGAAAGAAAGUUUAUGGCCAAAAUAUGAGAAACAACUGGCUGGUAUAAAUGUUAAGCAUGCAAUUUCCAAGACUUUUUCCAAUUUCCAGGCUUCUUUGCUCUUCAAUGUCUUAAGAUCACAGGUGAUCAACUUGCAGUAUAAUUAGUAGGUAAACAAAUAUACACUAUAUUGCCAAAAGUCUUCACUCACCCAUCCAAAUCAUUGCAUUCAAGUGUUCCAAUCACUUCUAUGACCACAGGUGUAUAAAACCAAGCACCUAGGCCUGCAGACUGUUUCUGCAAACAUUUAUGAAAGAAUGGGUCACUCUCAGGAUCUCAGUGAAUUCCAGCGUGGUACCAUGAUGGGAUGCUACUAGUGCAACAAGUCCAGUCAUGAAAUUUUCUCACUACUAAAUAUUCCACAGUCAACUGUCAGUGGUAUUAUAACAAAGUAGAAUGACAGCAGCUCACCCACAAAGUGUUAGGCCACAUAAAAUGGCAGAGCAGGGUCAGUGUAUGCUAAGGCGCAUAGUGCACAGAGGUCGCCAACUUUCUGCAGAGUCAAUCACUACAGAUCUCCAAACAUCAUGUGGCCUUCAGAUUAGCUCAAGAACAGUAUAGAGAGCUUCAUGGAAUGGGUUUCUGUGGCCGAGCAGCUACAUCCAAGCCUUACAUCACCAAGAGCAGUGCAAAGUAUUGAAUGCAGUGGUGUAACGCGCCGCCACUGGACUCUGAGCUCUAGAGCUGUGGAGAAGUGUUCUGUGGAGUGAUGAAUCAUCCUUCUACAUCUGGCAAUCCGAUGGAUGACUCUGGGUUUGCCGGUUGCCAGAACGGUACUUGUCUGACUGCGUUGAGCCAAGUAUAAAGUUUGGUGGAGGGGGGAUUGUGGUGUGGAGUUGUUUUUCAGGAGUUGGGCUCAGCCCUUUAGUUCUAAUGAAAGGAACUCUUAAUGCUUUAGCAUGCUCCCAACUUUGUGGGAACAGUCUGGGGACGGCCCCUUCCUGUUCCAACAUGGCUGCACACCAGUGCCCAAAUCAAGAUCCAUAAAGACAUGGAUGAGCGAGUUUGGUAUGGAAGAACUUGACUGGCCUGCACAGUGUCCUGACCUCAACCUGAUAGAACCCAUUUGGGAUGAAUUAGAGCGGAGACUGCGAGCCAGGCCUUCUCGUCCAACAUCAGUGUCUGUUCUUACAAAUACAGUCCUGGAAGAAUGGCCAAAAAUUCCUAUAAAAACACUCCUAAACCUUGUGGAAAGCCUUCCCAGAAGAGUUGAAGCUGUUAAACGGUGGGCCAACAUCAUAUUAAACCCUAUGGAUUAAGAAUGGGAUGUCACUGCAUUUCAAAUGCGUGUGAAGACAGACGGGUAUAUAUAUAUAUAUGGAAAGACUACAUACAGUACAUCAAGCCUGGGAAAACCCUUCUUAAGGGCAGAGCCAUGGAUGCCUUAAAGGGGAAUUCCACCAAUAUUUCAAAAUGUUUUGCAUAAUUCUGCUGUUGCAAGGCACACUAAUACCCAAAAAAAGUUUAUUUGUUCAAUUUUUAUCAGAAUCAACAUUACAAAAACUCGCUCACUGGUCAUUUGGGAUAGCGAAUUAAAUGGCCAUAUUUGCAUUGUAGAAAUUGCAAUCACUGGUUCCUGUUACCACUGUAAAGAAAUCGAAUUCAACAAGUUUCUCUACAGUGCACUGUUUCACAUCAAACCACUCUGAAUAACUUUGUUUAUAACUCAGCAAUUGAAUUAUGCAGAAUAUUUUUUUUAUUCUGCAGAAUAUUUUUGUUCUCCAGGGUAUUUUUUGGUUUGUCCAUCUGAAUGUGCAUGUCCAAAUCGUAAGGCAAAUUAUUCAGUAACUGCAUGAAAGAAAUGCAGAUUUUUUCUUUACUUAAUUUUUUAUGUAAAAGCUCCCCUCAGAUUAACAGAAAAUGUGUUUUAUGAUCACACAGGUAUUGCGAUAUGCUUUCAAUUUACUGCUGAAAGCCAAAUAUCUUUGAUGCUCUUUGUAUUUUUUUAUAAAAAUAAUUUUUACAGAGCAGAUCACUGAAGAGACACCAUCUGUUUAUAGUUUAUAGCCCAGAUUUAUGGAAAAAUGGGUUGACUUUCAGUAGACAAAAAAAAUGUUCAGCUUCUUUUAUUAUAAGGGUUUAAAAUUACAUACAGUUACAGCUCUCAAAUGACACCCACUUUUUGAAUGUAGCUUAUGAAAUAUGAAAGUUAUGAAGAAUAUGACGAAGUGCAUUUUGGAACCACUGGUGGUUCCAAGGAGUUUAAGAGGCUACAUAUCUGGAAUCCCCCUUAAUAAAUAUAACUAAUAAAGAUGUGUUGGCUAAUGUAGGUGAGGCGUUUGAUAUUGACGAGUUUGAAUGCAUUAAAAAAAAUCUCCUUUUCAUAGUUUAUUAGUCAUUUUGACAGUAAAAAGAGGAAGAUCUGGUUUGGUUAUUCAUACGUGUUUGCAAAAGUUCUUGUUUCCAAAAUAUCAGUGCUUGUAUGUUUGAUAUAGCUGGUAAUCGCUUGCUUUGCUAGCUAAAAGCGUCUGCUGUUAUACCUGGACAGUGCCUAUUUUUGAAAACAUGAAUUUAAACACUGAGUAGUGCCUUGGACCAUUAAUCAGAAUUCUACCUUCUAUGUUGUGGACUGGCAUGUAUCAGUUUUACUUUUUGUUUUUGUUUUAUGUUUUUUGUGACAUGUGUAAGACAGGAAAGGGGGUGGGGUACUACACUUACUUUAAACACUUAUUUACCGUGCUUUGUACCUUUAUAUGGGAGUCUGUGCAUAGGGAAUUUUGAUGGAAGCACUUGUUUCAUACUAUGUGAGUUUCACUUGUUAUUGUAUAUCGCUGUUUGUGUUUUCUGUUCUUCAGUGGUUUACUGUUUGUUUAAAGCCACCUUCAAAUAAAGGAUCAUUUGAAUAAAUCGAGCCAAUUUUCA